rnacentral:rRNA from 1 species
UACGGAGGGGGCAAGCGUUGUUCGGAUUUACUGGGCGUAAAGGGUCCGUAGGUGGUUGUGUAAGUCUGGUGUGCAAUCUUCGCCGCUUAACGGGGAGAAGCCACUGGAAACUGCGCAACUUGAGUAUGGUAGAGGCAAGCGGAAUUCCUGGUGUAGCGGUGGAAUGUGUAGAUAUCAGGAAGAACAUCUGUGGCGAAGGCGGCUUGCUGGGCCAUCACUGACACUGAGGGACGAAAGCGUGGGGAGCAAACGGG